AUUGAACGCUGGCGGCAGGCCUAACACAUGCAAGUCGAGCGCGAAAGUCCUUCGGGAUGAGUAAAGCGGCGGACGGGUGAGUAACGCGUGGGAAUCUACCUAGUAGUGGGGGACAACAGCCGGAAACGGCUGCUAAUACCGCAUACGCCCUACGGGGGAAAGGAGGGGAUCUUCGGACCUUUCGCUAUUAGAUGAGCCCGCGUUAGAUUAGCUAGUUGGUAGGGUAAGAGCCUACCAAGGCGACGAUCUAUAGCUGGUCUGAGAGGAUGAUCAGCCACACUGGGACUGAGACACGGCCCAG
rnacentral:rRNA from 1 species